GACUGCCUCGGGAUAACGGGGAGGAAGGUGGGGAUGACGUCAAGUCCGCAUGCUCCUUACGUCUAGGGCUACACACGUCCUACAAUGGGGUCGACAAUGGGAUGCAAUAUCGCAAGAUGGAGCCAAUCCCCAAACGGCCUCUCAGUUCGGAUUGUAGUCUGCAACUCGACUACAUGAAGUUGGAAUCGCUAGUAAUGGCAGAUCAGCAUGCUGCCGUCGAAUACGUUCCCGGGUCUU
rnacentral:rRNA from 1 species